UACGGGGGGAGCAAGCGUUGUUCGGAUUUACUGGGCGUAAAGGGCGCGUAGGCGGUCAGCACAAGUCAGUUGUGAAAUCUCCGGGCUUAACUCGAAAAGGUCAACUGAUACUGUGCGACUAGAGUGCGGAAGGGGCAACUGGAAUUCUCGGUGUAGCGGUGAAAUGCGUAGAUAUCGAGAGGAACACCUGCGGCGAAGGCGGGUUGCUGGGCCGACACUGACGCUGAUGCGCGAAAGCCAGGGGAGCGAACGGG
rnacentral:rRNA from 1 species